rnacentral:rRNA from 1 species
AGAACGAACGCUGGCGGCAUGCCUAACACAUGCAAGUCGAACGCGUGUAGCGAUACACGAGUGGCGGACGGGUGAGUAACGCGUGGGAACCUGCCCUGGAGUGUGGGAUAACCGAGGGAAACUUCGGCUAAUACCGCAUACGACCUGAGGGUGAAAGAUUUAUCGCUCUAGGAGGGGCCCGCGUCGGAUUAGCUAGUUGGUGGGGUAAAGGCCUACCAAGGCAGUGAUCCGUAGCUGGUCUGAGAGGAUGAUCAGCCACACUGGGACUGAGACACGGCCCAGACUCCUACGGGAGGCAGCAGUGGGGAAUAUUGGACAAUGGGGGCAACCCUGAUCCAGCAAUGCCGCGUGAGUGAUGAAGGCCUUAGGGUUGUAAAAGCUCUUUCGCCCGCGACGAUGAUGACGGUAGCGGGAGAAGAAGCCCGGCUAACUUCGUGCCAGCAGCCGC